rnacentral:rRNA from 1 species
UACAGAGGGGGCAAGCGUUGUUCGGAAUUACUGGGCGUAAAGGGCGCGUAGGCGGCCUACUAAGUCGGACGUGAAAUCCCCGGGCUCAACCCGGGAACUGCGUCCGAUACUGGAAGGCUUGAAUCCGGGAGAGGGAUGCGGAAUUCCAGGUGUAGCGGUGAAAUGCGUAGAUAUCUGGAGGAACACCGGUGGCGAAGGCGGCAUCCUGGACCGGUAUUGACGCUGAGGCGCGGAAAGCCAGGGGAGCAAAGCGGG